GCCCGGAUGGUGGAAUUGGUAGACACGCCGGACUUAAAAUCCUGUGGCCCUUGCGGCCGUGCGGGUUCAAGUCCCGCUCCGGGUACCA
rnacentral:tRNA from 1 species